UAUUAUGUGCUUGAGUUUUUGGUGUUUCCAGCUAACUAAUGUGUGGCUGUUUUGGCUAUCUUCUGCAACAGGUGCUGGAGCACAAGCCAAGUGAGAUCUGUUCUGGAGCAUUGUCAUUCUCAAACAGGUGUUGCGACUGCGAUUCAUCUUCCUCUACAUCAACGGGGAAGCGUGUACGCUCUAUACCAGAUUAUACACAACGGCCACUUACUCCAGCCGUGGUGCGUGCGCAUGUGCAUGCCAUAUUGCACAGUGCU